GAAAAGAUAAGCUAAUAUAAGCUUAUGGGCUCAUACCCCGUCUAUGAAGAACUCUUCUCCUUUCA
rnacentral:tRNA from 1 species